GAUGAACGCUGGCGGCGUGCUUAACACAUGCAAGUCGAACGGAAAGGCCAGUGCUUGCACUGGUGCUCGAGUGGCGAACGGGUGAGUAACACGUGGGUGAUCUGCCCUGCACUUUGGGAUAAGCCUGGGAAACUGGGUCUAAUACCAGAUAGGACCAUGCUUUGGAUGGUGUGGUGGAAAGUUUUUUCGGGGUGGGAUGAGCUUGCGGCCUAUCAGCUUGUUGGUGGGGUAAUGGCCUACCAAGGCGUCGACGGGUAGCCGGCCUGAGAGGGUGUACGGCCACAUUGGGACUGAGAUAAGGCCCAGACUCCUACGGGAGGCAGCAGUGGGGAAUAUUGCAAAAUGGGCGCAAGCCUGAUGCAGCGACGCCGCGUGGGGGAUGACGGCCUUCGGGUUGUAAACUCCUUUCGCAACUGACGAAGCUUUUUGUGACGGUAGGUUGAGAAGAAGCACCGGCUAACUACGUG
rnacentral:rRNA from 1 species